ACUCAAAGGAAUAGACGGGGGCCCGCACAAGCGGUGGAGCAUGUGGUUUAAUUCGACGCAACGCGAAGAACCUUACCUGGGCUCGAAAUGUACAGGAAUCCGGUGGAAACAUCGGCGUCCCGCAAGGGACCUGUAUAUAGGUGCUGCAUGGCUGUCGUCAGCUCGUGUCGUGAGAUGUUGGGUUAAGUCCCGCAACGAGCGCAACCCUUACUUCCAGUUGCCAUCAUUUAGUUGGGCACUCUGGCAGAACCGCCUCGGAUAACGGGGAGGAAGGUGGGGAUGACGUCAAGUCCUCAUGGCCUUUAUGUCCAGGGCUACACACGUGCUACAAUGGUCGGUACAAACCGUCGCAAACCCGUGAGGGGGAGCUAAUCGGAAAAAGCCGACCUCAGUUCGGAUCGCAGUCUGCAACUCGACUGCGUGAAGCUGGAAUCGCUAGUAAUCGCGGAUCAGAAUGCCGCGGUGAAUACGUUCCCGGGCCUUGUACACACCGCCCGU
rnacentral:rRNA from 1 species